rnacentral:lncRNA from 1 species
AGAAACAAUGCUAGAGCAAAUGAGAGGAAUAAGCGCAAUGAUAGGCCCCGCAAUACUGAUAGGUCAAGAAACUUUGAGAGGAGGAGGGAAAACAUGCAAAAUAGAGAUUUUCCAAAUCCUGCAACUGGACCUAACAUGAGUGCACCAGCUCCAGGUGGUAUGCCUCCCAACAACUUUAAUCCCAGCAUGCCUCCUCACAACCGCCAAGGCGAUUAUCCAGGAGGACCACCACCUCCGAACAAUUUUAACAGACCACCACCGCCACCACCGCACAACUACAGCGGACCACCACCACCACCACCACACAACUUCAGCGGACCACCACCACCACCACCACACAACUUCAGCGGACCACCACCACCACCACCGCACAACUUCAACGGACCACCACCACCACCACCGCACAACUUCAACGGACCACCACCACCACCGUACAACUUCAACGGGCCACCACCUCCUCCACCAAACAACUUCAACGGACCACCACCUCCUCCACCGAACAACUUCAACGGACCACCACCACGCAACUAUGCUUCAGCAUCACCAAAUCACGGAGGAGGAGGAGGAGGAGCACCCCACAACUAUGGGGGGCCACAGGAAAACAACUAUUGGGGAGCACAGCAGCCAAACAACUAUGGUGGACCUUCAAACUCUGGCCGGGGACCUGCAUAGAACAACUA